rnacentral:rRNA from 1 species
GACGAACGCUGGCGGCGUGCCUAACACAUGCAAGUCGAACGAGAUCCAUGGGAGCUUGCUCCCGGAAGAUCUAGUGGCGAACGGGUGAGUAACACGUGAGAAACCUGCCCUGGAGUGGGGAAUAACUCGGGGAAACUCGAGCUAAUACCGCAUACCCUCGGAUGGUCGCAUGGCCGACCGAGGAAAGAUUUAUCGCUCUAGGAGGGUCUCGCGGCCUAUCAGCUAGUUGGUGGGGUAACGGCCUACCAAGGCAACGACGGUAGCUGGUUUGAGAGAACGAUCAGCCACACUGGGACUGAGACACGGCCCAGACUCCUACGGGAGGCAGCAGUGGGGGAAUCUUGCGCAAAUGGGCGGAAAGACCUGACGCAGCAACGACCG